GGGCUGGGCUGGGCCGGCCCGCUCCGGCGCCGGGGACCACGCGCGACUGGUUAGAUCUUGUCGUGAUCUCUGGAAAACUGUGACUAUCUCACAUGCCCUGCCCUGCUCGGAUCCCCUGCGCUAACGAGCCAGGCCCCCCUUGAUUGCUGAUUUUACGCUUUUUGGACCAAUUGUGGGUCUCCGGGGGCGGGGUUUUGACAGCUCAGGCCAAGCUCCGGCCGGGAGGGGGGGCCGGGGAGAAGGUGUCGGAAGCCUCAGCAGUAAGAAAACAUGUCAACGGAAUAAAAUAUUAACCAAUGACGGCCCGGCGGGCCCGAGACCCCUCCCCCUGGCCGGGCCCCCACCCCGCCGCCCGCGCCCGCGGCUCCCGAGCGCGGACUGGGAAGCGUGGAGGGCCGACCUGACCCGCCGAAAGGGCCGAGGCGGGGGGCGCCGGGGCCGAGGGCCUCAGGGAAGGACCCCUAGCCGCGUGCCGGCCCCAAGUGCAAAGCAUUGACACGUCCCCGAGAGGAGAGGGGGCGCCCUCCUUCUCCCGCGCCCGGAAGCCCGGCCGCUCGGGCCGGCGCCCCAGCCUGGCCUCCGACUUGGCUCCCGGUCGCCGCCCGGGUCCCCGCGCUCCACAGGGAGGCUGCGGGCGCUGGAAAGCGAGGCCGGUGGGCGGGCGAGUCGGGAGGCUCGGGCGGCUGAGGUCCCGGAGCGGAACCCAGGUGGCGGGAGCUGCCCCUCACUGUGCUUCUGAGAUGUGGAUGCGCAUGUGGCUGGCAGUCUCUGUCCCAAGCAAGAUGAGACCUGCAGUGCAAGCUUCGCCAAGAGGCCACAAAAACCCCUCUUAG
rnacentral:lncRNA from 1 species